rnacentral:rRNA from 1 species
GACGAACGCUGGCGGCGUGCUUAACACAUGCAAGUCGAACGGAAAGGCCUGCUUUCCCUUGUGGAUUGCGGGUGCUCGAGUGGCGAACGGGUGAGUAACACGUGAGUGAUCUGCCCCCAACUUGGGUAUAAGCCUGGGAAACUGGGUCUAAUUCCCGAUAGGACUGCAGGGUGGUGCCUGUGGUGGAGAACGAUUUUCUAGUGGUUGGGGAUGAGCUCGCGGCCUAUCAGCUUGUUGGUGGGGUAAUGGCCUACCAAGGCGGCGACGGGUAGCCGGCCUGAGAGGGUGGACGGCCACAUUGGGACUGAGAUACGGCCCAGACUCCUACGGGAGGCAGCAGUGGGGAAUAUUGCACAAUGGGCGGAAGCCUGAUGCAGCGACGCCGCGUGGGGAUGACGGCCUUCGGGUUGUAAACUCCUUUCGACCGCGAGGAAGCCACCUGGUUGGAAGGGUGGUGACGGUAGUGGUAGAAGAAGCACCGGCUAACUACGUG